GACGAACCGGACAAACGUUAUUCGGAAUUACUGGGCUUAAAGGGUACGUAGGCGGUCCGUUAAGUGGGGUGUGAAAUCCCUCGGCUCAACCGAGGAACUGCGCCCCAUACUGGCGGACUCGAGGGAGACAGAGGUGAGUGGAACUGAUGGUGGAGCGGUGAAAUGCGUUGAUAUCAUCAGGAACACCAGUGGCGAAAGCGGCUCACUGGGUCUCUUCUGACGCUGAGGUACGAAAGCUAGGGGAGCGAACGGG
rnacentral:ncRNA from 2 species